CGACCAGUUAGAAGUAAAAACAUAUGUUGUAGAUCACUUGAAUCAUUCAAAGAACUUACUUCUUCCUGUACCCUGUGACAAACACUCUCUUGCAACCAAUAGCUGAAUUCUGCUCUCCUUAUCAAUGGAAGUGCUUCUGGAUCAACAUCUGCAGCAGUUUCUCUCGCAUCAGGUAUCAUAUCUUCCUCAUCCUCAUCUUCAAGAGACUUUAAUUGCCCACUCAAUUGUCUUGUCGAGAAAAGCACUUUUAUUAAUUCCCAAAUCAUUGCUUGGUGCAUCAGAAGAACACGGGAUGCUGGAGAUAAGUCAGGAACCUCCAAUUGCCUCUCAAUGACACCAAUAUAGCUCCGACAUACAUCUGAAAGUAUUAGACGAUCACACACAAGUCUUUGAAGCUUUAACACAAAGGUUCCCUCCCCGAACUCUUUGGUUUCAUGAGUAAUUUCCUUGUGAAG
rnacentral:misc_RNA from 1 species